AUCCCGUGACUUGUUGAUAUGGCGUUUCCCGGGAGGAGCGGAGUAGUGGGGCCGAGCCUGACGUCCAAACCGGCUUUUGGUCCCAAAGAAGACAGUGGCAGUCAUCUUUGCACUGGCGCGGUCUCGUGUGCUGUGACCAGGGUGUCAGGAGCGGAACGCUGGAGGAUGCCGGACGAGGGGAGGCAGGUCCGCACCUGUCCGCUGUUCCCAGUGUGAUUGAGCAGGCAAAGCAGCCUCCGACCGACCCGGAGCAGGAUGAAUCUCCGAUGUUCCACUGGGAUAGAGACCAGAGAAGACAGUCCAAGCCACAAAAAUAUCAAACAUCCCUCAUCUCAGCCACCAAAACUGCUGCUGCUUUACCAAUUACAAGUUUGUCCUCUGUGUGUUUUGUCUCAGAAAAGAUCCAGCCAUAGAAUUACCACCUCUUCCUGACAUACAACACACGAAAGACCUCACUUCCCUAAACAUACCCUCAAAUCAAUUGACUACACAUCCAGAUCCUACCAGUCUUUUCCCAACAACCCCUUACCUGUGUUUCCCGUCUUGUGUGGACUCGCUUGGUGCAGCAGGCAACAUAAGUCAUGGCUCCACUGCAAAUCUGUUCCGGCUAUUCUCUGGCUGUGAUAGGUGGAUCUGCCCAGCAGCCUCCAGGCCACUGAAGUCUUCACUGCUCUCAGACAGAAGCACCUUCUCCAGCUGAAGGAUUUUGAAGCUCAACUUCUAUCUCGCUGUUAUUUGAUGGAAUUAUCUUCUUUUGUGGAGACAAGAACUUGCUAGGUACACCAGACUGGUCUUGAAGUCACAAUGCCUCUACUUCCCCAGUGGUAGGAUUAUAGGUCUGUGUCACCACUCCUGGCAAUUGGAAUUCUGACUUGAUCUUAAGUUCUCUUUUCUCUUUCCCUUCAUAAUCUCAUCCACACCAGGCUUGAAUUGCUACCCUUUUGGACAUGACUUGUUCAUUUUCCUACUAUCUUUAGAUCUCUGGGCUCCAGUAAUCCCUAGAAUAGUUUAUGGGUGAUCAGAGCACCUCAAGUCCCUGACAGAUUCUAUUUUCUCUACUCCAUCUUUCCUUUAGUCUGUUGCUUGGGCAGAAGAAAGGCAUGUCAAUGGGAGUGUGUAGUAGAGGAGGUUUUCACUUCACAGUGAACAAGCAGAGCGGAACAUCAACAGGAAAGAACCGGGGAAAGAUAUAAUCCCAGAGGACAAGCCCCCAGUGACCUAUUUUCUCCAGUUUCCAUUUUCCACCACGCCACCCCCUGCCAACGAUCUCUUAAAAUGUUGAACCUGCCACAGGGUUAAACCAUUCACUAGCUCAGAGCCUCAUGAUCUAAUUGCUUCAGAACACGAUAUGUUUUACUAAUUUUGUGGACAUCCCUUAAUCCAGUCAAGUUGACCCUCAGUGUCAACCAUCAAAAUGUCCAUGUGCAGAUAUUUGUGUGUACUUAAGUUUUCUGCUUCUGACCAGACAACAAGAGUGCAUUUGUUGGAUUAUAUAGUGCAAGUAUAUCUAGUUUUGGGAGGAGUCAUCAGUGCAUUCCAACAUGGCUGUUGCAUUUUACAUCCCCACCAUCAGGGAAUAGGAGUGCCUGCCCCCCCCCCCCCCCCCCCCCCGUAUCUGCGCCAUCAUUUGUUCUCAGUAUUCUGGGUUUUAACCAUUCUAACAGGUGUGUGGUUAGUAAACUUUGAGUUAGUCAAACUCUAAUUACAGAAAAGUGCAUGAAUCAUAAUUAUAAAGCUGAGUGACUUUCACAGGCCAAACACAGCCAUAUAACAAAGAUUCAGAAAAGAAAAUUCAGAGCACUUUGCACACAUAGAAGCCAUUUCAGUCAUGACCUCGGAAGGAGAUCACAGUUAGCACUCUACCAUGGAAUUUGCCUGGCCUUGAACUGAAUAGGUGGAAUAAUAUGAAUUUGAGCCCAGCCUGGUUACAAAGCGAGUUGUAGGAUGGCCAGAGCUGUUACAUAGAGAAACCCUGUCUUGCACACCGCCACCAAGUUACAAGUUCAACCAUAUUUAAUGUGCAAUCAUGACGCUAAGCACAAUCAUGUCUCAAACCAUCACUGUAGAAACACGGUCAAAGGAUGGAGUCCUUCGAGAAAACCCCAAGAAAACAAGAGCCUUGUGAGCUCAGUUUCUUCAAAACAGAAUUAUUCUUGGAAUAUAGUUUUAUGCUCUUCCCAGGUGUAGCAGAUAGGAAUGAGUUUAUUUCAGAUUUCUCAUUAUUGCUUGCUGCUGUCAUUCAAUUAAAUGCUUAUAUGCCUCUAUGGAAAAACAUUUUUGCCAAGUGCAGCUUGUCCUUGUGAUUGUAUACUUUACACAUUAUUCUUAAUCCUCAGAAUUGAUGCUCUGAAUAAAGUUGGCUACUGCAUGGGA